rnacentral:rRNA from 1 species
UACGUAGGGCGCAAGCGUUAUCCGGAAUUAUUGGGCGUAAAGAGCUCGUAGGCGGCCUGUCGCGUCGGCCGUGAAAACCUGGGGCUUAACUCUGGGCGUGCGGUCGAUACGGGCAUCACUGGAGUUCGGCAGGGGAGACUGGAAUUCCUGGUGUAGCGGUGAAAUGCGCAGAUAUCAGGAGGAACACCGGUGGCGAAGGCGGGUCUCUGGGCCGAUACUGACGCUGAGGAGCGAAAGCAUGGGUAGCGAACAGG